rnacentral:rRNA from 1 species
UACGAAGCAAGUUAGAGGUGAUUCGAAAAGAUGAAAAAGCCCUUUUGAAAAAGAGGGUUAAACCAGCCCCGUGAAAUUUGUUAAAAGGGGAAGCGGCUUGUGACCAAGACUUGCGCCCCGGUGAAUCCCCCCAGCUUUUCGCGGCUGGGGCCCUUUGCCGGUUCAGGCCAGCAUCAGCUUGCCGUCGGGGACAAAAGCUUCGGGAACGUAGCUCUCUUCGGGGAGUGUUAUAGCCCGCUGCACAAUACCCUUGGGCGGGCUGAGGUACGCGCUCCGCAAGGAUGCUGGCGUAAUGGUCAUCAGCGACCCGUCUUGAAACACGGACCAAGGAGUCAACCUUAUGUGCGAGUGUUCGGGUGUCAAACCCCUACGCGAAAUGAAAGUGAACGCAGGUGAGAGCUUCGGCGCAUCAUCGACCGAUCCUGAUGUUCUUGGAUGGAUUUGAGUAAGAGCAUAUAGGGUUGGACCCGAAAGAAGGUGAACUAUGCGUGUAUAGGGUGAAGCCAGAGGAAACUCUGGUGGAGGCUCGCAGCGGUUCUGACGUGCAAAUCGAUCGUCAAAUAUGCGCAUGGGGGCGAAAGACUAAUCGAACCUUCUAGUAGCUGGUUUCCGCCGAAGUUUCCCUCAGGAUAGCAGUGUUGAACUCAGUUUUAUGAGGUAAAGCGAAUGAUUAGGGACUCGGGGGCGCUAUAUUGCCUUCAUCCAUUCUCAAACUUUAAAUAUGUAAGAAGCCCUUGUUACUUAGCUGAACGUGGGCAUUCGAAUGUAUCAACACUAGUGGGCCAUUUUUGGUAAGCAGAACUGGCGAUGCGGGAUGAACCGAACGCGAGGUUAAGGUGCCAGAGUAGACGCUCAUCAGACACCACAAAAGGUGUUAGUACAUCUUGACAGCAGGACGGUGGCCAUGGAAGUCGGAAUCCGCUAAGGACUGUGUAACAACUCACCUGCCGAAUGUACUAGCCCUGAAAAUGGAUGGCGCUCAAGCGUCUCACCCAUACCUCGCCCUCAGCGUAGAAACGAUGCGCUGAGGAGUAGGCGGACGUGGAGGUCAGUGACGAAGCCUAGGGCGGAGCC